rnacentral:rRNA from 1 species
UACGUAGGGCGCAAGCGUUGUCCGGAAUUAUUGGGCGUAAAGCGCUCGUAGGCGGCUUGUCACGUCGGGUGUGAAAGCCCGGGGCUUAACCCCGGGUCUGCAUUCGAUACGGGCUAGCUAGAGUGUGGUAGGGGAGAUCGGAAUUCCUGGUGUAGCGGUGAAAUGCGCAGAUAUCAGGAGGAACACCGGUGGCGAAGGCAGAGCACUGGGACGGUACUGACACUGAGACGCGAAAGCGUGGGGAGCGAACAGG